AGAGUUUGAUCAUGGCUCAGAAUGAACGUUGGCGGCGUGGAUUAGGCAUGCAAGUCGUGCGGAAAGGCUCCUUCGGGAGUACUCGAGCGGCGAAAGGGAGAGUAACGCGUGGAUAACCUGCCCCCUGGACCGGGAUAGCGACGGGAAACUGUCGGUAAUACCGGAUAAAGUCUCCGGACCAAAAGGUGAGAUUCCGCCGGGGGAUGGGUCCGCGUCCUAUUAGCUUGUUGGUGGGGUAACGGCCUACCAAGGCUGUGAUGGGUACCGGGUGUGAGAGCAUGGCCCGGCUCACUGGGACUGAGACACUGCCCAGACACCUACGGGUGGCUGCAGUCGAGAAUCUUCGGCAAUGGGCGCAAGCCUGACCGAGCGACGCCGCGUGCGGGAUGAAGGCCCUCGGGUUGUAAACCGCUGUCAGAGGGGAGGAAAUGCAUGAGGGCGCUCUCUCAUGUUUGACCUUCCUCA
rnacentral:rRNA from 1 species